AUGAAACGGACAAGGGUGGGAGGAAAUCUCCUGCCGGACGGAAGAGGGUGUGAAAGUGUGAUGGCCUCACCGUACAAUCCCCACCGGCGGCAGCUGGGCGGGGGGCAGUCCGCCUGGCCGGAUCUCCCGCCGGAGCUCCUGGAGAGCGUCCUAGGGCGGCUCGCCCCGCUCGACCGUGUCGCCGUCCGCCUCGUCUGCUCCUCUUGGCGCUCGUGCGCGCGAGCUUCGAUCUCGGCUGACCUCCCCUUCGAGGCCCCGCGCCUCCUGCUCCGGCGCCCCGGCUCCUGCGGCGGCCUCGCCUUCUUCAGCCUCCACCGCCGCGAGAUCCUGCCUUUCGCCCUCCCCGACCGCCUCAGCUCCGGCCGGUGCUGCGGCCAGAUCGGCGGCUGGCUCGCCAUGGCCUUCGACGAGGAGCGGGCGAUCGAGCUCCGCAACCUCUUCUCCGGCCAAUCCGUGCCCCUGCCGCGGUCCCCCGUGUUCCCGGUGGCCAAGAUCGUGCUGUCCGCGCCGCCCACCUCGCUUGGCUGGGUGGCCGCCGUGCUGGGCCGCGCCGGCACGGUGGCGCUGCUCCAGCCGGACGUGUCUGGCGGCGCCUGGAUCACGAUCGCCGCCGGGGGGCCGCACGGCGGGUUCCGGGACGUGGCGUUGUGGCGGGGGCGGCUGUGCGCGCUGGGCGACGACGGCACGGUCCUGGCGUACCGUGUCGACCUCCGCGCGCGCGUGGCGGCCGUGUCGGAGCUGCGCGGGAAGGACGCCAACCCUCUGAACCGGCUGGAGCGGCGGGUGCGGUACCUGCUGGAGUCGGACGGGGAGCUCCUGCUGGUGAAGAAGCUGUACAGCGUGGUGCGGGACUCGGCGGACGUGGAGGUGGAGGUGAGCCGGUUCCGGCCGGAGGGGUGCAAGUGGGAGUCGGUGACGGAGCUCCCCGGGAGGGCGGUGUUCCUGGGGUCGGUGGCGUCGGCGGCGGCGCCGGCGACGGCGGGGGUCCGGGAGAACUGCGUCUACUUCGCGCGGCGGGACGUGGAGCUGAUGGUGCCGCACGCCAUCGGCGUGUACUCGCUGGGGGACCGGGAGACGGCGGUGGUGGCCAUCGCGGGCGGGCACUCCGUGGAGGUGGAGCCCGUGUGGAUCCUCCCCUCGGUCGCCUGA
rnacentral:rRNA from 1 species